AUGGUAUUCUCCAAUGCAGGGUUCUUCCACGCCUCCGAUAAUCGCUUUUUUGAUGAAGGCAUUGCGUACUGCAGGAAACAACAGUUUGAAAAAGCAUACCAAUGUUUCAAGAGACAUCUCUCUCAAAACAGUUUCUGUCAGGAAACAUUUCAGAUGAUAUCCUACUGUCAAUACAAAUUCAUGGACUGCCAAUGGAGGAAGAAGUUCAAGCAGCAGCAAGUUACAAGUAACUUGACUGACUCAGCAGUCGUUGAUACUCCCUCUUACUGCAGGAUUCAACGUCUCCCAGAAAACAUUGUACGAGCCGAUGGUGCAAUUCACCUCAAGAAUCUGUAUUGCGGUUUUCGUCUCAUGAAAAAUGUUGCUGUUCAAACAGAAUCUUGCGAUCCCAGGUUGCAUUCGAUCACCACCAUCAAAGCCAACAUGAGCGGUGCAUUAAGUACUGUAAGUCUGUUCCAUUCUACUUCUCUUGUUCCAGCGCAUGCCAGUCAGAGAAGAAUGACAUUGAUAGUAACAAAUUCUGCAUGUCCAGCAAACUGCUUGAAUAUUUUUAUCAACAAAGUCCUUGCCGAAAUAAUGAGCAGUGUCUCCUCCUUUCCAAUCGAUUUCAGUCCCUUAAUUUUGAGCGUCGAUCAGACUCCUCUUUCUGAUCAAGAUGUUAAAUUGGACCUAAUUCCCGCAUCGAGCGAACUUCUAACCUGCUCCAAUGUAUGUUUACGUCUUCACGGUCAUUAUAUUGAGUUCAAAAACUUGCGUGUGUACCAAGUAGAUCCCUUUAGGUUGCGCUACCUGGAGUGUCAUGCAUCCAAAAACAUUGAUUCAGGUCACUCGCAGUCGCAAGAUCUCGUUUCAUUCAUCUACCCAGAACGCAUAAUUCUACAUUCCCUUAGUACAGAUUUGUACAAUCUCACCUUGCUUGCCGGUCCUUUAGAAUAA
rnacentral:lncRNA from 1 species